UACGUAGGUGGCGAGCGUUAUCCGGAUUUAUUGGGCGUAAAGCGUCCGCAGCCGGUUUAUUAAGUCUAGAAUAAAAGCCUGGAGCUUAACUCCAGUUCGUUCUAGAAACUGAUAUACUUGAGUGUAGUAGAGGCAAAUGGAAUUUCUAGUGUAGCGGUAAAAUGCGUAGAUAUUAGAAGGAACACCAGUGGCGAAGGCGAUUUGCUAGGCUAUUACUGACGGUCAGGGACGAAAGCGUGGGGAGCAAAUAGG
rnacentral:rRNA from 1 species